GCAGAUAGCAAGAGAGAAAGCGUAGCUCGCUGGAUUUCAUCCACCACUUUAUGUCCUAAACAACAUUUGUACAGGUCACAGUGAACAGCAGAUUGUUGUCUCAAGCCAGUGCUGAUCAAUGACCGUUUAGCUGCAGUCUGUCAGAGAAGAGAGGAAAGAUGAGUCUCUCACACAAACAGAGUGUAAGAUCAGGAUCACAUGUGUCUGUGAAGAGUGACCGGUCAAAGGAUGAUGAUAAGCCGAACUUCAGUGAGAAAAAAACAUCUAUCAAAAGGUAUUUAUUAUCUUUGACAUUAUAAUGUUGUGUUGGCUUAUUUCUCCACUAAGAUGCUUGUGAUAGAAAUGAAUGA